UGGGGAAUCUUGGACAAUGGGGGCAACCCUGAUCCAGCCAUGCCGCGUGAGUGAUGAAGGCCUUAGGGUCGUAAAGCUCUUUCGCCUGUGAAGAUAAUGACGGUAGCAGGUAAAGAAACCCCGGCUAACUCCGUGCCAGCAGCCGCGGUAAUACGGAGGGGGUUAGCGUUGUUCGGAAUUACUGGGCGUAAAGCGCACGUAGGCGGACCAGAAAGUUGGGGGUGAAAUCCCGGGGGCUCAACCCCGGAACUGCCUCCAAAACUAUUGGUCUAGAGUUCGAGAGAGGUGAGUGGAAUUCCAAGUGUAGAGGUGAAAUUCGUAGAUAUUUGGAGGAACACCAGUGGCGAAGGCGGCUCACUGGCUCGAUACUGACCUGAGGUGCGAAAGUGUGGGGAGCAAACAGGAUUAGAUACCCUGGUAGUCCACACCGUAAAACGAUGAAUGCCAGUCGUCGGGUAGCAUGCUAUUCGGUGACACACCUAA
rnacentral:rRNA from 1 species